rnacentral:rRNA from 1 species
AUUGAACGCUGGCGGCAGGCCUAACACAUGCAAGUCGAACGCGUGGCGGACGGGUGAGUAAUGUCUGGGACACUGCCUGAUGGAGGGGGAUAACUACUGCAAACGGUAGCUAAUACCGCAUACCAUCGGAUGUGCCCAGAUGGGUUUAGCUAGUAGGUGGGGUAAAGUCUCACCUAGGCGAAGAUCCCUAGCUGGUCUUAGAGGAGGACCAGCUACACUGGAACUGAGACAGGGUCCAGACUCCUACGGUAGGCGUCAGUGGGGAAUAUUGCACAAUGGGCGCAAGCCUGAUGCAGCCAUGCCGCGUGUAUGAAGAAGGCCUUCGGGUUGUAAAGUACGUUCAGCGGGGAGGCGUUACCCGCAGAAGGAGCACCGGCUAACUCCGUGCCAGCAGCCGCGGUAAUUC